CUCCAACAUCCUGGUACUUCGUUCUAACUCCACCCAGAAUGGACAGGCCUACACCUGCUACGCCAAACACCCCUGGACACACGCACCAGGACCUGCAGCCUUGUCCCUGUCAGUAAGCCCUAUAUUCUGCUGAGUGAUGCGUCCCCGGCGGAGGGAUCUUCGGUGUGGCUGCGCUGUGGCCUGGAGAACGGUACUGAGCCGCUUUUCUUCGUGUGGGAGCAUGAGACUUACAAUGGAUUGGUCAGCACCGUCUCCCAGGGCAACAGACGCGUGUUUAAUAUGACAGAAGUCAACCGUAACCAAACAGGCUGGUAUCGUUGUGGGGCCCGGAACCAGGUCAACCAGGAACGGUCCGACCGCAUCUGGCUGGACAUCAUCUUCGGUCCUGAUAUUCCCCAGAUCGACGUGACCCCCUACAGUGUAACAGACAGAGGAUACUCUGCUCAGGAGAGACAGACGGUCUCUCUGCUCUGCCAGGCCCAGUCCAACCCUUCCAGUCAAUAUGUCUGGUUCUACAACAACAGCCAGGUGUACACGGGACCCCAGUUCACCAUCACUAGGAUUCUGCGGAUGAACACUGGUACCUAUGCCUGUCAGGCUCAGAAUACGUACCUCAACACCCGCUCUCUCAAGACCAUCAACCUCACCGUCUAUUACCCUCCAGAUGGUUCCCCCUCCUGCUCUGUUCUGCCAGCAAUGAACUACUCCUCCCUCAACCUGACCUGUUCAUGGCCAGGGGGCCUGCCUCCCCCUUCACUACGCUGGACCACAAACCUUCUGGCACAGGGAGGGGCGUGGCUUGGGGGCGAAGGGGCGUGGCCAGCCAACAAUGUCUCCGUACUGCAGUCUGGAUCCCAGACCAACAACAACUCUCUGUUCACCUGCCUGGGGAUGCACCCUGCUCUCAACACCUCC
rnacentral:lncRNA from 1 species